rnacentral:lncRNA from 1 species
CUUAGGAAUGAUGGACCUAGCAUGGAUGAGAGGGACAAGCAUUGGAGCAUGAUCACGCAUGGAGAUGAAGGCAGCAAGCGUGUGAGGACUGAAGAUGGCGCCGCAACGGGAGAUUUCAGAACGUUGAAGCCACCAUAAUGAGAGAUGAAGACGUGGGCGAAAUAUAGAGCUUUUCCCUUCAUAUUUUCGUCCACAUAAUCAUAUGGUGCUGCGUCACCUUUUAAGUUUGGGCUAGACCCAUGUAAUUUUCGUCCACAUACAUGGGCUGAACUUUAGAGUCCGUAUAGGUGAAGGAAACCAACCUAGAGUGGGUUUCGGCCUCCUCUCCCAAGGCUGGCCGCAUACCCCUCUAGUCCUCCAUAUAUACCCCCGUUAGGUCUUUGUUUAGAUUCGGAUUUUGUUUAGUUUAAGACUUAGCUAUUCGCUACUCUUCGCCAUAGGCACAAGUGUCAAAUCGAUCUUCUGUACUACGCGCUUGCGGAAUCCCAUCAAUAAAGCUUCACCUUUAUUCGCAAUAUCUUGAUUGCAUCUAUAAUUCUUGCUUGUUCUUCGGUUGCAUGCAGAGAUUGAUCCUUCGUGAUCAGGUUGAUCUAGCUCCGGCGUGGUCAAUAACCUCGGAAGUUGGUGUAGCGAUCGCUAAGGCGCAACGUCUCGCACGUUUGUAGCCGGUUCGUCAAUGUCGACAUCCACCCAAAAAUUGAUAGUUACCGUCUCAUCGAAAGAUCAGGCACCUUUCCCCUAUCAAGUGGUAUCAGAUUUCAGGUUGCUCGGUGAGAUCUUACUGUUUUCCUAGCUUAGUUGCAUCUGAUUUAUCCCUACAGUCCACGAAAAAGCCAAAAAAAAAAAUUAGGGUUAGAUCUUGUCCUACAAACAAUUU